rnacentral:rRNA from 1 species
UACGUAGGGGGCAAGCGUUGUCCGGAAUCAUUGGGCGUAAAGCGCACGUAGGCGGCUUUGUAAGUUAGAGGUGAAAGCCCGGGGCUUAACCCCGGGUCGGCAGUGGAUACGGGCAGGCUAGAGGUAGGUAGGGGAGAAUGGAAUUCCCGGUGUAGCGGUGAAAUGCGCAGAUAUCGGGAGGAACACCGGUGGCGAAGGCGGUUCUCUGGGCCUUACCUGACGCUGAGGAGCGAAAGCGUGGGGAGCGAACAGG